CACGUAGGGCGCGAGCGUUGUCCGGAAUUAUUGGGCGUAAAGAGCUCGUAGGCGGCCUGUUGCGUCCGCUGUGAAAGCCCGGGGCUUAACCCCGGGUCGGCAGUGGAUACGGGCAGGCUAGAGGUAGGUAGGGGAGAAUGGAAUUCCCGGUGUAGCGGUGAAAUGCGCAGAUAUCAGGAAGAACACCCGUGGCGAAGGCGGCUCUCUGGGACGGUACUGACGCUGAGACGCGAAAGCGUGGGGAGCGAACAGG
rnacentral:rRNA from 1 species